AGAGUUUGAUCCUGGCUCAGGAUGAACGCUGGCGGUCUGCUUAACACAUGCAAGUCGAACGGAUGCUUCGGCAUCAGUGGCGGACGGGUGAGUAACGCGUGAGAAUCUGCCCUCAGGACGGGGACAACGACUGGAAACGGUCGCUAAUACCCGAUGUGCCGAGAGGUGAAAGAAAUUCGCCUGAGGAUGAGCUCGCGUCGGAUUAGCUAGUUGGGGAGGUAACGGCUCACCAAGGCGACGAUCCGUAGCUGGUCUGAGAGGAUGAUCAGCCACACUGGGACUGAGACACGGCCCAGACUCCUACGGGAGGCAGCAGUGGGGAAUUUUUCUCAAUGGGGGCAACCCUGAAGGAGCGACGCCGCGUGGAGGAUGAAGGUCUUCGGAUUGUAAACUCCUGUCAUUAGGGAACAAACCUUCCGGUUAACUGCCGGAAAGCUGAUAGUACCUGAAGAGGAAGGGACGGCUAACUCUGUGCCAGCCGCCGCGGUAAUUC
rnacentral:rRNA from 1 species